AGCUCCAAUAGCGUAUAUUAAAGUUGUUGCGGUUAAAAAGCUCGUAGUUGGAUUUCGGCGGGCAGGGGGUGGUUUGAAUUGAUUCAACACUGACCUUUUUAUCCCGGGGUUUUGGCAGAAUUUUACGGGUGCUCUUUGCCGAUUGUCCCGUGGAACUGGCAGGUUUACUUUGAAAAAAUUAGAGUGCUCAAAGCAAGCUUACUGCUUGAAUAGUUGCGCAUGGAAUAAUAGAAUAGGAAGUCGUUUCUAUUUUGUUGGUUUUCGGAAAUCGACUUAAUGAUUAAUAGGGAUAGUCGGGGGCAUUCGUAUUCAAACGACAGAGGUGAAAUUCUUGGACCGUUUGAAGACGAACUAAGGCGAAAGCAUUUGCCAAGAAUGUUUUCA
rnacentral:rRNA from 1 species